AUUGAACGCUGGCGGCAUGCCUUACACAUGCAAGUCGAACGUGAAAGGGGGGCAACCCCCGAGUAGAGUGGCGGACGGGUGAGCAACACAUCGGAACGUACCCAGUAGUGGGGGACAACCUCGAGAAAUCGAGGCUAAUACCGCAUACGACCCACGGGUGAAAGCGGGGGACCGCAAGGCCUCGCGCUAUUGGAGCGGCCGAUGUCCGAUUAGCUUGUUGGUGGGGUAACGGCCCACCAAGGCGACGAUCGGUAGCUGGUCUGAGAGGAUGAUCAGCCACACUGGGACUGAGACACGGCCCAGACUCCUACGGGAGGCA
rnacentral:rRNA from 1 species